GACGAACGCUGGCGGCGUGCUUAACACAUGCAAGUCGAACGGCAAGGCCCUGCUUUUGUGGGGUGCUCGAGUGGCGAACGGGUGAGUAACACGUGAGUAACCUGCCCUUGACUUUGGGAUAACUUCAGGAAACUGGGGCUACUACCGGAUAGGAGCUCCUGCUGCAUGGUGGGGGUUGGAAAGUUUCGGCGGUUGGGGAUGGACUCGCGGCUUAUCAGCUUGGUGGUGGGGUAGUGGCUUACCAAGGCUUUGACGGGUAGCCGGCCUGAGAGGGUGACCGGCCACAUUGGGACUGAGGUACGGCCCAGACUCCUACGGGAGGCAGCAGUGGGGAAUAUUGCACAAUGGGCGGAAGCCUGAUGCAGCAACGCCGCGUGCGGGAUGACGGCCUUCGGGUUGUAAACCGCUUUCGCCUGUGACGAAGCGUGAGUGACGGUAAUGGGUAAAGAAGCACCGGCUAACUACGUG
rnacentral:rRNA from 1 species